rnacentral:tRNA from 1 species
GUCCUUGUAGUUCAAUGGAUAGAAUAGAAGUUUCCUAAACUUUUGAUCCGGGUUCGAUUCCCGGCGAGGAUA